GGAGGGCAAGUCUGGUGCCAGCAGCCGCGGUAAUUCCAGCUCCAAUAGCGUAUAUUAAAGUUGUUGCAGUUAAAAAGCUCGUAGUUGAACCUUGGGUCUGGCUGGCCGGUCCGCCUCACCGCGAGUACUGGUCCGGCUGGACCUUUCCUUCUGGGGAACCUCAUGGCCUUCACUGGCUGUGGGGGGAACCAGGACUUUUACUGUGAAAAAAUUAGAGUGUUCAAAGCAGGCCUUUGCUCGAAUACAUUAGCAUGGAAUAAUAGAAUAGGACGUGUGGUUCUAUUUUGUUGGUUUCUAGGACCGCCGUAAUGAUUAAUAGGGAUAGUCGGGGGCGUCAGUAUUCAGCUGUCAGAGGUGAAAUUCUUGGAUUUGCUGAAGACUAACUACUGCGAAAGCAUUCGCCAAGGAUGUUUUCAUUAAUCAGGGAACGAAAGUUAGGGGAUCGAAGACGAUCAGAUACCGUCGUAGUCUUAACCAUAAACUAUGCCGACUAGGGAUCGGACGGGAUUCUAUGAUGACCCGUUCGGCACCUUACGGGAAAC
rnacentral:rRNA from 1 species